rnacentral:rRNA from 1 species
CCUACGGGUGGCAGCAGUGAGGAAUAUUGGUCAAUGGUCGGGAGACUGAACCAGCCAAGCCGCGUGAGGGAUGAAGGUACAGAGUAUCGUAAACCUCUUUUGUCAGGGAACAAAGGCGGGGACGUGUCCCCGGAUGAGUGUACCUGAAGAAAAAGCAUCGGCUAACUCCGUGCCAGCAGCCGCGGUAAUACGGAGGAUGCGAGCGUUAUCCGGUUUUAUUGGGUUUAAAGGGUGGGCAGGGGGUCUGUUAAGUCAGCGGUAAAAGCCCGGGGCUCAACCCCGGACCGCCGUUGAAACUGGCAGUCUCGAGUUGGAGAGAAGUAUGCGGAAGGCGCGGUGUAGCGGUGAAAUGCAUAGAUAUCGCGAAGAACUCCGAUUGCGAAGGCAGCAUGCCGGCUCCACACUGACGCGGAGGCACGAAAGCGUGGGUAUCGAACAGGAUUAGAUACCCCAGUAGUC